rnacentral:sRNA from 1 species
GUUGGUUUGCAAGACAGACCUUAUGUAAGCAGUUUUAGUAAAGCAGUCUCAGUUCAGUGUUAUCUUCUGAUUUCCCUUCUUCGUGAGUCUCCUCCUUAAGUGCCUAAGUAAGUCCCAAUCUAUACAGAUCAAAUUCUCGCCGCACUAUGUGGCUCACAAAAUUAAGAAGGUAAUAUCUAUGUCUAAUAAAAUGACUGGUUUAGUAAAAUGGUUUAACUCUGAUAAAGGCUUUGGCUUUAUUUCUCCUGCUGAUGGCAGUAAAGAUGUUUUUGUACAUUUUUCGGCAAUUCAGAGUAAUAAUUUCCGCACUUUGGAAGAAGGCCAGCAGGUCGAAUUCUCUAUCGAGAAUGGUGCUAAAGGCCCAGCAGCAGCAAAUGUCGUUGCUCUAAGCUGAUUCAACGCUGAUGAUCCUCAUUUCU